ACCUCGGAAACUUAUACGACAGCAUGAGCAUUCCUUGAAUCACACUUUAACAGUUCGUACCGCGGUCUUCUUCACCUCAAAUCAUUCCAAGUAAUUUCCACUUCUUUUCAGAAUAACACUAGUCUAUAAUCACAUCAUUUUUCUCUUCAAAAGAGUUAAUAUUUUUGCAAAAGGUAUAGAUUAUAUUCAGUUUUCACCACAAUACAAAAUCAAACCAUGC